rnacentral:misc_RNA from 1 species
UGUUUACAUUAACACCAAGUGGACAAUAUAAUUAUGAUUAUAUUUUGUUCCAAAUAAUUGCUUUUUUGCUUACUUAUGAUAAAAAAUACAGUCCAUAAAUUUUUCAUCACUUAUAUUGGAACCGUAGAAGUACAUUCUAACAAGUUAGAGGAUUUAGUGUUGGUAAUUUCUUUCUUUCUUUCCCUUCUUGGUGGUCAAUACAGUGCGAGUCUCACUCUGGGAAUUGUAAUUACAGGCUGUGUCCCUGUUAUCCUUAGCUGACCUCUUAAUUGCCCAGUUGAACUUUUAAUUCAUGUUCCUCACUAUAUAUUUCUCUGACCUUGGGCCCACGAUCCCAUGACCUUCAGCCCAUCCCAUCCCAGGAGCCCAUCCCACGUUUUCCAGGCUGCCGGCAUGGUGUACCAAAUUAUCCAUGGGUAAUCUAAUAGCCAUAGGUGCCAAUCAUCUCUCUGAGAGCAUUUUGGAUUGUACUAGACAGAUAAGUUCAACAUCAUUCCUCUGUGAAAAUCUCUAAAAUAGACUGGUUUUGUCUCUAUGGAAUUGAAUUCAUCAGAAAGGGAAAAAUGUAAAAAUAUAUUUAUUAUCAGUCUACUGGGGCUAGUCUAGGUCCUGAAAUACCUUGACUAAAUUUAUAUCCUGGCUGUUCUUUUCACAUGGGUGUCAUUGUAAACACAUGUCAAAUAUCUUCUGAUAAUUCUGGAAAUUCAUCAAAUAAAAGAUAUCAACUUUCAAAUUCAUUUUUGGCUUCUGAGAGAGGAAAUUACUGUGAAUUGAUAUGAAAUGAAAACCAAAAAUGAUCAAAAAAUGUUAACUGAUCCCCAAGUGAGUCCUUAAAAUCAAAUAAAGGCACAAAUAUUUACAGUUAAAUAUGUGUGAAGGCCAACCUUAGAAGAAAUGUAUGACUAUCAGCCUGCUUUACUCUUUGUUAACAGGUUGAUGAUGACCAAACAGAUAUGACAGAAGACAGUGUUGAAGAAAAUGCCACAGAGGAUGUUGCAGCAACAAAUAAGCAUCAGGAAGAAAUAGACAGGUUAAGAGAAGAGGUGGAAUCAUUAAAAGAAGAGUUGAGGGAAUAUAAAGAUGCAAAGACUCCAAGUAAAAGGCAAAGGACAGGAGGGUGACAGUGAGGUAGUUGUUUAUGUUUGUUCUUUGUUGGGAUUGAAGUCACACUAAAACAGUCAAGUUCAAAAGGCAAUAUGUAGAUAUUUGAUAGAAACAGUCUAUGAAAUAAACUGGUAAAACCUGAUCAGUCUGAUCAUGGGCCAGGGGUUCCAUUUGACCCAGGACUCCGGGUCCGGACCCGAGAGAUUUUCAAACGAUGCUCAAAGGACCCGGCAUGAUACAUGCCUGUGCGUCACUCAGGACCCAGGGGCAUUUUCCUUUGAUAAUCCUUUCAUAAAACUGUGUCCACAAUUAACUCGUGAAUUCCAAAUCACUCGCGGUCACUGAAUGCACGCAUACAUAGAUAAUGAUAUGAUUGACAUAAGCAGUAAGGUAUGGAAGGCGGAGUUAAACUACUGUUGACAUGACUGGUCUUAUCAGAGAAACUGAAAACAUUGGCAGUUCUUGAAACAUAAUCAAAAUAAUGUAGUACUACUAGAUGUGACAGUUUCACUAGCAAUUAGUUCUGUCAUUUAUGAUUAGAUAUAUAGACACCAUCGGGUUUGAUGUACCAUUGUAACAUCAUAUCAGACCUGCUCUUGUGCCAUGUAAAUUCUUGUCCAGGCUGUAACUUCAACAUAAUCAUUCCUGUCAAUCAAUGAUUUCAUGAACUGAAAUGUUCAAUUAUCUCUGUCGUUUUCCAAUAGCACUUGGUCUCGCUUAUAAGGAGGUGGAGUUGUUUGAGUUUUCUUUAAAUACACUGUCUCUAGCCUUACACAUUACAACACGUUACAACACGCUUUUAUUUUUAUUUCAUCAGUAUUUUCAAAAUUAAUACUUAUGACUGAAAGGUUUAUGAACAAAUUUUUGGACAUGUCUGCAGAGAUGUGGGAAGAGAGUAAAUCUGCAAACACUUACAUUAUAGGAGAUUUACGAAAUCAAAUCAAGCAAAUGAGAAAUGAUUUAUAUAAUAAGGAGCAAGAUCUUAAUGCUCAAUUGCAGCGCAAUGCUGACUUGAAAGUCUAAAGAGGCGAUGCAAUUGCUGAGAGAGACAAUUUAAGGUCAGAAAAAAAUGAUUUAAACUUGGAAAUUGGAAUUUACCGUGAAGAAAAUGCGAACUUGAAACAUGAAAUUAAAAAUUUGCAGCAGCAAACUUGGACAAUAAGGGAAGAAACUGCAGAAAGCAGAGCUCAAGUUGAAACAAAAAAAUGAGAAAAUUUUGAAGACCAAGGCCAAGCUGAUUGCUGUCAAUAACAAAAUGCAAAAAGAUCUAGACCGUCAAGCAAAAAUUUCAAUAAAACUUAGAACUGAAAGGGACAGUCACAUGAACAAACAUUUUGAAAUGUAUCGAAAACUUAGUUUAAUAAUGGAAGAAUUUGUUUGAAGAAAUGUUUGUUACAAGAGCAAACAGAAAUUCAAGAAAUUCUUCAAGUGAUUGAACCCAUGAAUAUCACUGAGGAACACGAAGACUUCAUACAAAAUGCUGUCCAAUGUUGCAUAUGUAAGAAACAAUUUAGUAUCUAUUGCAAGACAUACGACAGGAUUGUGAGACAUAAUAACCAUCUCACAGGGGAGAUAAUAGGUCCAGCUUGCAACAGUUGCAACCUGAACUGCCACCAAGCGAAGUUCAUUCCAGUGAUAUUUCAUAACCUGAAAAAUUUUGAUGCUCACAUACUCUGCGAGCAUAUUGGAUAUUUCAAAGAGCACAAAUUAAACUGCACUGCUCAGAAUUCGGAGCGUUAUGUUAGUUUUUCACUGGGAAGACUUCGCUUUAUCGAUAGCUUUCAGUUUCUUCCAAGCUCUCUAGAGACACUAGUUGACAAUUUGACUCAAGAUGGAAUGGAAGCUUUCCCACAUUUGGUGUCAGAAUGUGAUACAGACGAUGAAGCCAAUCUACUGCUUCGUAAAGGCGUUUACCCGUAUGAAUAUAUGGACUCCUUUGACAGAUUUGAAGAGCAAGAAUUACCACCGAUAGACAAGUUUUAUUCAUCUGUUAAACAGGAACAUAUUUUGGAUGCGGAUUAUGAACAUGCUCAGACUGUGUUUCAAACGUUUAACAUGGAGACUUUAGGACAAUAUCACAACCUUUACCUGAAAAUUGAUGUUGUGUUAUUGAGUGAUGUGUUCGAAUCAUUCAGUAAUAUGAGCUUGAAGCAGUACGAGUUAGACCCUUGUCAUUUCUACACUUCACCGGGCCUAUCUUGGUCAGCUUGCUUGAAAAUAACGGGUGUUCAUCUCGAGAUGUUGACAGAUAUCGAUAAAAUAUUGAUGAUUGAGACUGGCAUUCGUGGAGGUGUGUCUCAGAUUUCACAUUGUUAUCAAAAAGCAAACAACGCUUACUUGCCUGAUUAUGACCCUUCACAACCUACUAAAUGUUUGCAAUACCUCGAUGCAAACAAUCUCUAUUCAUGGGCAAUGAUACAACCACUUCCGGUAGGUGACUUCCACUUCAUGGACGACUGUGACAUUCAAAACUUUGAAGUAAUGUCAGUUCCUGAAGAAGGAGACAUAGGCUACGUUCUCGAGGUAUCAUUGGAAAACCCUAAGCACCUCCAUGAUAGCCAUAAUUGUUUUCCCUUAGCACCAGAAAGAAAGGCUAUUUCAAACUAACAGCUUUCCCCAUACGCGCAACAGCUGUUAAAGAAGUUGCAUGGAUUGUCAGAUGAAGAUCCACUACCUCAUCGUGGAAAUGUUAAGAAACUUUUGACCACAUUAGAAGAUAAAGAUCAUUAUGUGGUACACUACAGGAAUUUACAGCUCUAUCUUCGUUUGGGCAUGAAACUCAAAUCGAUUCACAGAAUUCUGACGUUCAAACAGGAAGCAUGGAUGAAGUCGUAUAUCAACUUGAACACUGAAAUGCGGAAAAAGGCAACAUCGAGUUUCCAGAAAAAUUUCUAUAAGCUCCUUAAUAAUUCCGUCUUCGGAAAAACGAUGGAGAAUGCCAGACAGCAUAAGAAUAUUGAAUUGGUGCAUAAAGAAGAGAGACUCAAGAAAAUUGCAGCCAAACCUACUUACAAAUACAGCACCAUCUUUAAUGAAGACCUGGUUGCUGUGGAACUUCAUAAAGCCAAAGUCAACUUAUUCAAACCAAUCUACUGCGGAAUGUGCAUUCUAGGUAAAAUAUCUAGAUAGUACUUUUAUUUUGUGUUCAUUUUGAUAUUAAACUUUUUGAUUAAUCAGCAACAUUUUCCAUAUAUAGUAUAUUUUGUUCAUUAUUAUUAUCUCUAUCAGUUGUUCCCACAGAAGACAUUUUAACUGAGUACUACAUAGGGAUAUGUGUGAUAAACAAAUGUUCACCCUUGAGGACUUUAAAAUUGUCCCUUGUGUAAAAAAGUAAAUAAAAUUCAGUCAUAAAUUUCUCGUACGUACAACAGUAUAUAUUUUUUAAUCCAUCCUUUUUUAAUUUCUUCGACAUGAUGGACUUUUUUGAAGAAGAAAUACGUGUUAAUGUUUUACACUUCUUUAACAAAUCCAGUUGCGUUUGUGCCAUAUUCCUUUAGAAAGCUUUCUUCACAAGGAUUGUCUAUACAUACAAAUAGCUCCACCCAUCAACAAUUUUUAAAAAAAAAUGUGAUUGGUUGCGUUAAAAUAAGUAGCUAUCAGUCACCAUUUCUCAUUAAAUCGCUUCCAAAAUCAUCGAGUUCUGAUCCCCAUCUGUGUAAUAAAAUUAAAAGUGAGUUACAUUCUCCAUAGAUGUAGGUCAUGUCAAAAAAUGUUUGAAUAAUUUCCCAAUUCGUAAAGUUGCGAACAGAGUUUACAACAAGAACGUUAUAGGAGAUAUAUUGAUAUUCAAAAUCAUUCAUCAUGAACGAGAUAUUUAUUCAUUUCUUAACAAAUCUCCGAAAGCAUUGUAUUCGACUAAAGCAGGGAUAAAUUCACACAAAUCGCUCCACCAGCGAUGAGAUAAAUGAGUUCUGCUGUGGUAAACCAGCGCGAGUAAAUGUCUAGGUCGUACAUCUAAAUAAGUAGUAGUCCAAUAAACUAAAUAUGAUAGCGCGAUUAUUUCAUCAUCUGCCCAAAGUUGUCUUCUUGUAUCGUCGAUCCAAAAUGAGUCAAACAGCCAUUUCUUAAUAAUAUUUAUAUGUCUGUUGUCAUAACUUAUGAAUAAAUUUUAAAAGAAAAUCUACUCCAAGAAAAGAUCCUCAAAUUUACGUUCUAAAGACAAAACUCGUCUUUGGUAGUACUUUUGCAGCAGACAACAUUUAGAAAUUUCUAGAUAAAUGUCUUUAGUACUUAUAUAUGUAUGUACGUAUGUUUGAAAAGCUUUGAAAACAUUAUGACAAAGGAAGAAAUGUAAAAACUCAUAUACCCAUCUGUGCAAUCAGAUCUGCUCCAUCUUAUUCCUUCACACCUAAUAAUCAUUUUAAGACAGGGGGAUUUAAUUUAGUUUUUGUUUUCUUUUAUAGGCUACUAUGCAUGAACCAGGAGCUACAUCAACUAUUGAUGACACCUUCCUUGCAACUACUAUUCCUCUAGGCAUUGCAACAGCUUUUGGACUGACUCUUGCAAUUACUCUUAUUGCAUUACACUGCACUGGUCGACUUCAUCUUAGAGACAUUAACUUCAUGGGAGUAAAGGCGAGAUUCCAAGUACACAGACCAUAGCAUUCGGACUCUCUCCUUUUCACACCACAGAUGCCAACCCCACAACCGAUGCAAGACACACAACCUUUACCAGCUCUCUCACCACUUCCGACCUCUCAGCCUUCCACAACACCAGCUGGCAUUUUUACACCUCAACCUCCAUGCCGAUUAACUAGACUACACAAUGUUUUCCAACAAAUUCCUUCAUUUGCAUCAUCCAGUUAACAGUAUAACCGAAAAUUGUGAAUGAAUUCGACAUACAAUAACUCAGGUGAACGAUCUAGGGCCAUUAGUGCCAUUAUUUUACAAAGUUCAAGCUCACGUGGUACACUGAUCUUUUUGCUGAUCAAUGUCUGGAACUUUCUGAGUCCUAUGGCCUCCAUACUUAAUAUGAUGAUUAAAGGUGGUCAGUAACACUGUAACUGACUUGCAUCAUUUUCUUUGUUUUCCGUUAAAAUAUCAAUAACCCCCAAAGUUGAAAACAAAUUAGUUCCAUGAUUUAAAACAGUAAUCCAAAUUUCAUUCAACAGGCUGUUCACCAUGCAGACAAGAUAAAAGUCUGUGAUUUUUUACAGUGAUUUUCUUUUAUGUUAGGUUCUGUAGAUGGCCCAACAUUUAUGGCCAAUGCUGGCCAGAAGUGGCGAGAUUUGACCAUUGAACAGAAGCAAAAGUAUGCACAGGCUGCAGCGGAAAAAAGGGCAGAGCCGUUUAAAGGGCAAACUAGAGAUAAAGUGGUGCAGACACAAUUAAAAAUUAUUGAUCAGGCUGUAAGUUAAAUGGUUUGUUUAAAAUUAUUGGAAUGGAAAUUAUUGAAGUACAUGGAUAUCUUUAAAUGUUAAACUGAAGAAAGCAAACUCAUCAGGGAAUUUAAAUUUUCAUUCUUAGUUUAAAUCAGUAUGUUAUAGUUCUUUUCCAUUUAUUUUCUCAAAAUUAUGUGCAGAGCAAUCAAUAUAUGUAUCAAACAAUUUUUCCUUGUCAUUUCAUAGAUCAGUCAUCAAUCAUGACAUGAAACUAACAUGAACCCUAGUUUACAACCUUUUUCAUAUCCAAAAUUUUUAACAUAGCUAAAAAAGUUUGUGAAUUAUCCUUUAUAAGAUCAUCACAUGUACAACUUAAGUUAAAUCACAACAGAUUUUUAGCUCGACUAUACAAAGUAUAAGGACAGCUAUCCUACUCGACCCAGCGUAGGUGUCUUUCCGCGUCUCCACCUUGGUUAAAGUUUUUUUUUUACACUUUCUCUUUUUUCAACUUAUCUCUGUAAUUACUUAAUGGAUUUGAUUCAAAC